CACGUAGGGCGCAAGCGUUGUCCGGAAUUACUGGGCGUAAAGAGCUCGUAGGUGGUUUGUCGCGUUGUUCGUGAAAACUCACAACUCAAUUGUGGGCGUGCGGGCGAUACGGGCAGACUGGAGUACUGCAGGGGAGACUGGAAUUCCUGGUGUAGCGGUGGAAUGCGCAGAUAUCAGGAGGAACACCGGUGGCGAAGGCGGGUCUCUGGCAGUAACUGACGCUGAGGAGCGAAAGCGUGGGGAGCGAACAGG
rnacentral:rRNA from 1 species